rnacentral:rRNA from 1 species
UACGGGGGGGGCAAGCGUUGUUCGGAAUUACUGGGCGUAAAGGGCUCGUAGGUGGCCAACUAAGUCAGACGUGAAAUCCCUCAGCUUAACUGGGGAACUGCGUCUGAUACUGGAUGGCUUGAGUUUGGGAGAGGGAUGCGGAAUUCCAGGUGUAGCGGUGAAAUGCGCAGAUAUCAGGAGGAACACCGGUGGCGAAGGCGGGUCUCUGGGCCGAAAUUGACGCUGAGGAGCGAAAGCGUGGGGAGCAAACAGG